rnacentral:rRNA from 1 species
AACGAACGCUGGCGGCAUGCCUAACACAUGCAAGUCGAACGAAACCGUCGUGUCUAGUGGCGGAGGGCUGCUUAACACCGGGUAACCUGCCCUUAGGUUCGGAAUAACUCCCCUUGGGGUGUGCUAAGACCGGUUGAUGUAUUCGCGCCAACGAUUUACCGCCGUUGGGUGGGCCCGCGUUGGUUUCGCUGGUUGGUAGGGUAAAAGCCUACCAACGCGACGUUCCAUAGCUGGUGUGAGAGGAUGCCAAGCCACACUGGGACUGAGACACGGCCCAGACUGCUACGGGAGGCAGCAGUGGGGAAUAUUGGACACUGGGCGAAAGCCUGACCCAGCCGCGCCGCGUGAGUGAUGAAGCGCUUAGUGUUGUACAGCUCUUUUACCCGGGAUGAUAAUGACAGUACUGGGAGAAGAAGCUCCGGCUAACUACGUG